rnacentral:rRNA from 1 species
UACGUAGGGUGCAAGCGUUGUCCGGAAUUAUUGGGCGUAAAGAGCUCGUAGGCGGUUUGUCGCGUCUGCUGUGAAAUCCCGAGGCUCAACCUCGGGCCUGCAGUGGGUACGGGCAGACUAGAGUGCGGUAGGGGAGAUUGGAAUUCCUGGUGUAGCGGUGGAAUGCGCAGAUAUCAGGAGGAACACCGAUGGCGAAGGCAGAUCUCUGGGCCGUAACUGACGCUGAUGCGCGAAAGCUAGGGGAGCAAACAGG